UACCAGAGUUAUAUUUCUGUAGAAAACAGUGACGUCUGUGUGUGCGGUGUGGCAGAGGUGAGUUUGCAUACAGAACACCACAUCAGUGAGGUAGAGAGUAGCACCAGUCACAGUGGUGUCAUUCUCACAGAGACGAGCAGCGUAACCAGAAGGGGUGACAACAGAGACGCAACUCCAGAGCUGUCUGACAGGCCCUCAGUCAUGACUCUACUUCUCAUUACUACACUGCUGGUCUCAGGUCUGGGCAGUCUCUCCUCCUCUGUGCCAC